rnacentral:lncRNA from 1 species
AGAUCGGCAUCCUUGAUGGAAGCUCAAUCUUGCGGGGGCAUGAUAAGCAGAUAAGAUUUCCUCAAGGCAGUUGAGGAAAUCUCUCAGUAGUUGAGAAGCAGAUAAGAUUUCCUCAAGGCAGUUGAGGAAAUCUCUCAGCAGUUGAGAAAAAUCCUCCAUGUAUAACCUCCCUACUGAGUGUGUAUAAAUGGCUGUCAAGAACUCACUAUCAAAAUGUAUUAGGCAAUUAUAUCUUAUACAUUUCAUAGUUUCUUCUACAAUUUCUAUCUUCUUCGCUUAAUUUCUAUCAGAAACAAUACUGUUAGAAAUGAGAAACAAAAGAAUUGACUGUAGCGCGAAACGCAAGAUCGAAUUCAACACAGUCCGCACCAAAAAUCUAAUUUUUGCCAAAGAAAAUGGGGAAAACAAACACUGACCACAAAUCACAGACAAAAAGGUGAAUUAAACAAUGAAGGAGAGGGAGUAAGUAAGAUUUGGGUGCGGGAAGAUCACCGGGAAGGUCCCACGGCUCGGACUUGCAGAUAUCUAUCUCGGAGAUGACCUCGUCCGCGGACUUGAUCCGGCCAGCGAUCUUUUCCUCGAGGUAAUGAUUCACGAGCUCCGCGUCCGUCGGACGGAAUCGGAAGCCCGGCGGCAAUUCCAUAGGAGACCGAGAUAGGAUCUCAAGAACCCUAGAGGGAGAUCAAAAACCCAACAAAAUUCUUACAGAGAACAAUGUUCAGCAGAAGGAGCGAUCAAAACGCGCUCGCUUUGGAUCUCUUUUCCCACCUUUUAUAGCCACAUUCCGUUGCUGUGAUAAGACCAUAAGCUCCCUUCACAUAAGGUGGAAGAGAGACCCUUCAAAACAGGUGGAAGAGAGAGAACGAGGGACCCACGGCGGCAGGGGAAAGGGGAGGCGGGGAUGGACGCGUCCGGCGAUCGGACAGUAGAUAUUUGGUUCAGGCUUUCCUUCGAGGGGAAGGUUGGGGACGAUGACGUCGGGCGGCAUCAAAUCCAUCGACGCCCUGCCUCUUGAUUGGCCACCAUGGGACCCACCAAGUCAGACGGGAUUGCUUCUCCGGUUAGAUCACUCUUUGUAUUGACCUCAUUAGUGACAUUAUUGAUCCUUAUCGAUGUAAAAACUCUCUGACAACUUGGAUAAGAUCCUUAUCGAUGGAUGGGAAUUAAAA